rfam:Ovis aries breed Texel chromosome 14, whole genome shotgun sequence.
UCCCUGAUAGCUCAGUUGGUAAAGAAUCUGCCUGCAAUGCAGGAGAUCUGGGUUCGAUCCCUGGGUUGGGAA